GAAUAUUGGACAAUGGGCGCAAGCCUGAUCCAGCCAUGCCGCGUGGGUGAAGAAGGCCUUCGGGUUGUAAAGCCCUUUUGUCCGGGAAGAAAGCGCCCUGGUGAAUAGCCGGGGUGGAUGACGGUACCGGAAGAAUAAGCACCGGCUAACUUCGUGCCAGCAGCCGCGGUAAUACGAAGGGUGCAAGCGUUACUCGGAAUUACUGGGCGUAAAGCGUGCGUAGGCGGUUCGUUAAGUCAGAUGUGAAAGCCCCGGGCUCAACCUGGGAAUUGCAUUUGAUACUGGCGGGCUAGAGUACGGUAGAGGGUGGUGGAAUUCCCGGUGUAGCAGUGAAAUGCGUAGAGAUCGGGAGGAACAUCCGUGGCGAAGGCGGCCACCUGGACCAGUACUGACGCUGAGGCACGAAAGCGUGGGGAGCAAACAG
rnacentral:rRNA from 1 species